CAGUAGCCACGGUAAUACGUAGGUGGCAAGCGUUGUCCGGAAUUAUUGGGCGUAAAGGGCUCGCAGGCGGUUUCUUAAGUCUGAUGUGAAAGCCCCCGGCUCAACCGGGGAGGGUCAUUGGAAACUGGGAAACUUGAGUGCAGAAGAGGAGAGUGGAAUUCCACGUGUAGCGGUGAAAUGCGUAGAGAUGUGGAGGAACACCAGUGGCGAAGGCGACUCUCUGGUCUGUAACUGACGCUGAGGAGCGGAAGCGUGGGGAGCGAACAGGAUUAGAUACCCGAGUAGUCCCUGUCUCUUAUAC
rnacentral:rRNA from 1 species